rnacentral:rRNA from 1 species
AAACUAACAAGGAUUUCCUCGGUAGCGGCGAGCGACCAGGAAUUAGCCCGACACCGAAUCCUGUACCUUAAUGGUAUUGGGAGUUGUGGUGGAUAGGAUUGUAUCUUUGAUGGUUAAGUUGGCUUGAAAUUCGCUUGAAUGCGAUCUAUCCGUAGAGGGUGCCAGACCCGUUCGAGUCAAUGAGAUUAUUAUUGAUGCUUUCUAAUGAGUAGGAUUGUUUGGGAAUGCAGUCCGAAUUGGGAGGUAGAUUCCUUCUAAGGCUAAAUACUUGUCUGAGUCCGAUAGUAAACAAGUACCGUGAGGGAAAGUUGAAAAGAACUUUGAAGAGAGAGUUAAAUAGCACGUGAAAUCGCUUAGAGGUAAACGAGUGGAGCCGAAGGUUGGUGUACAGAAUUCAACUAUUUGAGUGUUGCGGUCUGUAGUUUAAAUCUGUAAAGUUUAUUCUGCAGUAUUGUGGCAUUUGAGUAGUGCACUUUCUGUGCAUCAAAUAUGCGACCGGUACUUAUUCGUUCUGUCGUAGAAAAGAAGGUAUCCUUAUCUCCGGAUUUGGAUCAUACAGCUUUCUGCAUGGUUCGAAUUUGCACCGGUGACUGUGAUCAAUCAACGUUGGCGUAGUCAUUAUGUUGGUUGUAUCGUUGUAAACUCCUAGAGAUUGCAUUGGUACAAUUGAUGUAGUGGUUGCUCAACAGAUUGGUGUAAAGUCAGCAUUGUAUAUGUAGGCAAUCUACUUGUCCCGUCUUGAAACACGGACCAAGGAGUUUUUUAUACUUGCAAGUCUAUGGGUUCUACGAAAUCCUACGGCGAAAUGAAGGUAAAGUAUGUCUCCGGACGUAUGAGGUGCGACCUUUAUGUUAACACAUAGAGUGCAGCAUCGCCCUGUUCAAAGAUGUACGCAUCUGGGCAGAGGAAUAGCAAGUAUGAAGAGACCCGAAAGAUGGUGAACUUUGGUUGUGCAAGUUGAAGCCAGAGGAAACUCUGGUGGAGGACUGAAGCAGUUCUGACGUGCAAAUCGAUUGUCAGAACAUGACCAAAGGGGCGAAAGACUAAUCGAACCAUCUAGUAGCUGGUUCCCUCCGAAGUUUCCCUCAGGAUAGCUGGCAUUGAUGUUAGUUAUAUCCGGUAAAGCGAAUGAUUAGAAGGACCGGGGAAGAAAUUUUCUCGACUUAUUCUCAAACUUUAAAUGGGUAUGAUGUAUUGCUUUCUUCAUUGAAGUAAUACGGUUAAUAACAGUGCUUAGUGGGCCAUUUUUGGUAAGCAGAACUGGCGAUGUGGGAUGAACCAAACAUCUAGUUAAGGUGCCUAAUUCAUGCUCAUGAGACACCACAAAAGGUGUUGGUUGAUAUAGACAGCAGGGCGGUGGACAUGGAAGUCGUCAUCCGCUAAGGAGUGUGUAACAACUCACCUGCCGAAUCAACUAGCCCUGAAAAUGGAUGGCGCUGUAGCAUGGAACCUAUACUAGAUCGGCACGGUAAGCAAAUUGCGAGAAAGCCGUGUCGUGUAGGAGGGCGCCGUGAUAGCUUUUGAAGCCACUAGCGUGAGUUAGGGUGGAGCUGUUACGGGUGCAGAUCUUGGUAGUAGUAGCAAUUAUUCAAGUGAGAUCCUUGAAG